rnacentral:rRNA from 1 species
AAGAGACAGCAGUCGCCGCGGUAACACGGAGGGAGCUAGCGUUAUUCGGAAUUACUGGGCGUAAAGCGCACGUAGGCGGCUUUGUAAGUUAGAGGUGAAAGCCUGGAGCUCAACUCCAGAAUUGCCUUUAAGACUGCAUCGCUUGAAUCCAGGAGAGGUGAGUGGAAUUCCGAGUGUAGAGGUGAAAUUCGUAGAUAUUCGGAAGAACACCAGUGGCGAAGGCGGCUCACUGGACUGGUAUUGACGCUGAGGUGCGAAAGCGUGGGGAGCAAACAGGAUUAGAUACCCCUGUAGUCCCUGUCUCUUAUAC